UUACGGCCACAUCGUAUUUAAACAUUGGUUCCCGUCCAAUCACCGAAGUUAAGCAACGUCCAGCCUGGUCAGUAUUUAGAUGGGUGACCUCUUAGGAAUGCCAGGUACUGUAA